ACCGUGUUGUGCAUACUCUUGAAUUGAAGCACCUUGAGUAUUCUAUCAUACUCGAUUGCUUCAAGAGAAAACCUUAGACGUAGCAACUUAUUAGGGGCUGUUAAGUCGGGCUUUAUCGCACUAGUAUGAGCCCUGAUCAAACCCUUGCUUAUCCAACGCCCAACUGUGCUCUUACUGCAAUUUAUUCUCGUUGCUAGCCGUCGAAUGGUUGAUCUUUUGCUUAGCUCCAAUGUUGAAAUUAAUUCAAUAUCUAUUUCAACUCUCUUGCGCCUUAGUUUGUU
rnacentral:lncRNA from 1 species